CGUACGAGAAUUUUUAAUUCUAGUGGCGGACGGGUGAGUAACACGUGAGAAUCUGCCCUUUGGCCUGGAAUAACACGAGGAAACUUGUGCUAAUACCGGAUAAGUCUUUACGGAGAAAGCUUUAUGCACCAUUGGAUGAGCCCGCACUUGAUUAGUUAGUUGGUAGGGUAAUGGCCUACCAAGACUGUGAUCAAUAGCUGAUUUGAGAGGAUGAUCAGCCACAUUGGGACUGAGACACGGCCCAGACUCC
rnacentral:rRNA from 1 species